GAGAAGCAUUGAAUUGAAGCCCCAGUAAACGGCGGCCGUAACUAUAACGGUCCUAAGGUAGCGAAAUUCCUUGUCGGGUAAGUUCCGACCUGCACGAAUGGUGUAAUGAUCCGGACACUGUCUCAACCGUGAGCCCAGUGAAAUUGUAGUAUCGGUGAAGAUGCCGAUUACCCGCGAUGGGACGAAAAGACCCCGUGAACCUUUACUAUAGCUUAGCAUUGAAUUUGGGCACGCGAUGUGUAGGAUAGGUCGGAGGC
rnacentral:rRNA from 1 species